rnacentral:rRNA from 1 species
ACGGCUCAGUAACACGUGGCUAAUCUGCCCUUGGGACUAGAACAACCCCGGGAAACUGGGGCUAACUCUAGAUAGGUGAAGAACUCUGGAAUGAGUCUUUGCCUAAAUAGGUUCACGUUAUCCUCGUGAACUUGCCCAAGGAUGAGGCCGCGACCGAUCAGGUUGUUGGCGAGGUAAUGGCUCACCAAGCCUUUUACCGGUGCGGGCCGUGGGAGCGGGAGCCCGGAGAUGGGUACUGAGACAAGGACCCAGGCCCUACGGGGCGCAGCAGUCGCGAAACCUUUGCAAUACACGAAAGUGUGACAGGGCUAUCCCGAGUGCCAUCCGCUGAGGAAGGCUUUUACCCAGUCUAGAAAGCUGGGGGAAUAAGGAGAGGGCAAGUCUGGUGUCAGCCGCCGCGGUAAUACCAGCUCUCCGAGUGGUGUGGAUGUUUAUUGGGCCUAAAGCAUCCGUAGCUGGCUAGGUAAGUCCCUUGUUAAAUCCACCGAAUUAAUCGUUGGAUCGCGGGGGAUACUGCUUGGCUAGGGGACGAGAGAGGCAGACGGUAUUUUCGGGGUAGGGGUGAAAUCCUAUAAUCCCGGGAAGACCACCAGUGGCGAAGGCUGUCUGCUAGAACGCGCCCGACGGUGAGGGAUGAAAGCUGGGGGAGCGAACCGGAUUAGAUACCCGGGUAGUCCCAGCUGUAAACGAUGCAGACUAGGUGUUUGGACGGCCACGUGCCGUUCUAGUGCCGCAGGGAAGCUGUUAAGUCUGCCGCCUGGGGAGUACGAUCGCAAGAUUGAAACUUAAAGGAAUUGGCGGGGGAGCAC